GGUGAUUCUUGGGUGAUGCACCCUGAAAUAGGGCUCCCUCCUCUCUGGUUCUAGGGUGCGUCACCCGAGAACUGCU
rfam:Myotis davidii contig191773, whole genome shotgun sequence.